UUCUGCUUUGGGCAGGAAUGGGGAAGUCUCUGUUACCAGAGCCCAAAACUCAUGCCACAGACCCAGACACUAGGACAGCCACGGUGGACUCCAGAGACGGCAGCUCGUUACACAAACUGUCACUGUGCACAGGCGGAGUGCUGGACCCUGCUGCCUUGACUGGCUUCAGUUACACGCACGGUCCAGAUGGUCCCCACACCUUACUCUCUCAAGGAUACGUCCUUGGAAUAGCUCCCACUGUGGGAAGGCUCAUAUGAUACUUAUCAGUGGCACAUGAUCUACUGAAGAGUUUGGCCCCACUUCCAGGAGGAGGAGGUGAUGUGGAAGACGUAAAUGGAAGCUGACAUGCACACCCAGCAUGAGGCGGGACUGGACCAGGCUAUCUAGGCUACAUGGAGAAGUCAAGUGAGAUUCAAAGAGGCGUGGCUGAACAUAAAGAGAAACCCCUUGAGCAGCUGAAAGGCAAACAAAUCCAGAUGAAGGCCUUAAGGCACCGCAGCUGAGUGUGGUGGGUUAAUAGGAGCGCCCAUGGCUCUGUAGGGGCAGAGGGAGGAUGACAGCGGCUGACCUUCAACCUUGUCUAGGAGAGGUGCCCUACCCUCCAGCUGCAAGGAUGGUAAGUCAGGAUGGGUGGGUUCUGUGACACCCCGGGUAAGGGGCAAGGGGCACAGGUCAUCCAUUCUAUGUUAAAGGCACAAGGUGUGUUUUCCCCAGAUUCUCCUUGGUCAGUUCUCUCCCUUUCCCCUUUGAAACCCUGAGGUUUAAAAGCUGAAGAACCUAGAUGCCCAGGGGUGUGUGUGUGUGGUGCGGGGAGGGGGGUGCAGC